AAGUCAACACAAAGUCAUAGGCUCUUGCUUAACCUAACAUUUUUUCCGAGUCGUUACACCUACGCUAUGUAUACAUUAGCAUGGGAUAAAAUUAUAGGGUUUCGGUCCUAUUACAUUUGCCUUCGGGAUCGAAUUAAUGAUUAACAGGGACCGUCGGGGGCAUUCGUUUUUCUUAGUCAGAGGUGAAAUUUUUAGAUUUAUGAAAGACGAACAACUGCGAAAGCAUUUUCCAAAGAUGUUUAAUUUACUUAAGAAUGAAAGUUGGGAGCUCGAAGACGAUCAUAUACCGUCCUAGUCUCAACAAAAAAUGAUGCCGACUAGGGAUUGGCGGAUGUUGCUUUUAGGACUCCGUCGGCACCUUAU
rnacentral:ncRNA from 1 species